UUGUAGAAGUUCAUCCAGAAUCCAUCCACUAUGGAAGUUCAGGUGGAGUUUGAUUCUUGUUGAAGUCUGGAUGGAGACCGCUUAUUGAAGAAGCUCGACUGAAGUCCGCAGUAGAGAUAUAGAGUAGACCGCUCCUAGUAGAAGUUCGACUGAAAUUCGAUUCUCAUAGGAGCUCGAAUGGAAUCCGAAAGGUGGUCGACCACCGUAGAAACUUGGAUGGAGUCUGGUUACUAUAGAAAUCCCAUUGUCGGAGAAGCUCAAAUACUGACGAAGUUCGAAAAAAGUUCAGAGUAGAGUCAUCCGUGGUCGGAAGAAGUCUGGAAGGAAUUUGGAGAAUAGUCAAUCACCGUAGAAAAUCGACUGAUAGCGGAGUUCAGAGAGCAUUUGGAGCAGUCCGGUAGAUGAAUGGAGAAGCUCAUUAUCGGAGAAGUCCAGAUGAUAAUAUGGAAGCUCGACUGAUCGAGGGAAUUUAGAAAGACACCACACAAGGUCGGAAGCCGGAAGAACCCUAGAAGAGCCAGCUCUUUGUGAACUUCGGCUGGGGAUAUUUUAUACCCAGCACCAGUCCCCCUACUUUCGAGCUAAGGCUCCGAAUGAAGGAAGUACAAAAAAAAUUUUCACAGUCGAAGUUACCUCCCUCGAUUUUUGUGCUUGGUAGUUUCUAGAUAUUUUGAC
rnacentral:lncRNA from 1 species